rnacentral:rRNA from 1 species
AACGAACGCUGGCGGCAGGCUUAACACGUGCAAGUCGAACGCAUCCUUCGGGGUGAGUGGCAGACGGGUGAGUAACGCGUGGGAACGUGCCCUUCAGUUCGGGCUAACCCAGGGAAACUUGGGCUAAUACCGGAUACGUGCGCGAGCAGAAAGAUUUAUCGCUGAAGGAUCGGCCCGCGUCUGAUUAGCUAGUUGGUGGGGUAAUGGCCCACCAAGGCGACGAUCAGUAGCUGGUCUGAGAGGAUGAUCAGCCACAUUGGGACUGAGACACGGCCCAAACGCCUACGGGAGGCAGCAGUGGGGAAUAUUGAACAAUGGGCGAAAGCCUGAUCCAGCCAUGCCGCGUGAGUGAUGAAGGCCUUAGGGUUGUAAAGCUCUUUCGCCAGGGAAGAUAAUGACGGUACCUGGAAAAGAAGCCUCGGCUAACUCCGUGCCAGCAGCCGCAGUAA